AUGGUUGUCGUCAGCUCGUGUCGUGAGAUGUUGGUUAAGUCCGCAACGAGCGCAACCCCUACUUGUUAGUUGCCAUCAUUCAGUUGGGCACUCUAGCGAGACUGCCGGUAAUAAACCGGAGGAAGGUGGGGAUGACGUCAAAUCAUCAUGCCCCUUAUGACCUGGGCUACACACGUGCUACAAUGGUUGGUACAACGAGUUGCGAGUCGGUGACGGCGAGCUAAUCUCUUAAAGCCAAUCUCAGUUCGGAUUGUAGGCUGCAACUCGCCUACAUGAAGUCGGAAUCGCUAGUAAUCGCGGAUCAGCACGCCGCGGUGAAUACGUUCCCGGGCCUU
rnacentral:rRNA from 1 species